AGUGGCGGACGGGUGAGUAACGCGUGAGAAUCUGCCUUGGGGUCGGGGACAACCACUGGAAACGGUGGCUAAUACCGGAUACGCCUUCGGGUAAAAGAUUUAUUGCCCCAAGAGGAGCUCGCGUCUGAUUAGCUAGUUGGUGAGGUAAGAGCUCACCAAGGCAGCGAUCAGUAGCUGGUCUGAGAGGACGAUCAGCCACACUGGGACUGAGACACGGCCCAGACUCCUACGGGAGGCAGCAGUGGGGAAUUUUCCGCAAUGGGCGAAAGCCUGACGGAGCAAGACCGCGUGAGGGAGGAAGGCUCUUGGGUUGUAAACCUCUUUUCUCAGGGAAGAAGCUCUGACGGUACCUGAGGAAUCAGCCUCGGCUAACUCCGUGCCAGCAGCCGCGGUAAUACGGAGGAGGCAAGCGUUAUCCGGAAUUAUUGGGCGUAAAGCGUCCGCAGGUGGCGAUUCAAGUCUGCUGUCAAAGCACGGGGCUUAACUCCGUAAAGGCAGUGGAAACUGAAUAGCUAGAGUGCCGUAGGGGUAGAGGGAAUUCCCGGUGUAGCGGUGAAAUGCGUAGAGAUCGGGAAGAACAUCGGUGGCGAAAGCGCUCUACUGGACGGCAACUGACACUCAGGGACGAAAGCUAGGGGAGCGAAUGGGAUUAGAUACCCC
rnacentral:rRNA from 1 species